GACCGGAUGGUGUAGUGGUUAGCAUGCGCCAACUGAUGACUGGUAGUCAGCUGGGGAUCGUUACCCAUCCUGGUCA